rnacentral:rRNA from 1 species
UACGAAGGGUGCAAGCGUUACUCGGAAUUACUGGGCGUAAAGCGUGCGUAGGUGGUCUGUUAAGUCUGAUGUGAAAGCCCUGGGCUCAACCUGGGAAUUGCAUUCGAGACUGCAUUGCUAGAGUAUGGGAGAGGGAAGUGGAAUUUCCGGUGUAGCGGUGAAAUGCGUAGAUAUCGGAAGGAACAUCAGUGGCGAAAGCGACUUCCUGGACCAAUACUGACGCUCAUGUGCGAAAGCGUGGGGAGCAAACAGG